GACGAACGCUGGCGGCGUGCCUAAUACAUGCAAGUCGAACGCACUGGGGACGGGUGAGGAACACGUGGGUAACCUCCCAUCAGAGGGGAGAACACUUGGAAACAGGUGCUAAAACGAUAUUGAUGGAUGGACCAGCGGGGCAUUAGCUAGUUGGGGAGGUAACGGCUCACCAAGGCCACGAUGUAUAGCUGACCUGCGAGGGUGAUCGGCCACACUGGGACUGUGAUACGGCCAAGACGCCUACGGGAGGCAGCAGUAGGGAAUCUUCGGCAAUGGACGAAAGUCUGACCGAGCAACGCCGCGUGAGUGAAGAAGGUUUUCGGAUCGUAAAACUCUGUUGUUAGAGAAGCGGUAUCUAACCAGAAAGCCACGGCUAACUACGUGCCAGCAGCCGCGGUAAUAC
rnacentral:rRNA from 1 species